rnacentral:rRNA from 1 species
GAGUUUGAUCGUGGCUCAGAACGAACGCUGGCGGCAUGCCUAACACAUGCAAGUCGAACGAGACCUUCGGGUCUAGUGGCGCACGGGUGCGUAACGCGUGGGAAUCUGCCCUUGGGUUCGGAAUAACAGUUAGAAAUGACUGCUAAUACCGAAUGAUGUCUUCGGACCAAAGAUUUAUCGCCCAGGGAUGAGCCCGCGUCGGAUUAGCUAGUUGGUGAGGUAAAGGCUCACCAAGGCGACGAUCCGUAGCUGGUCUGAGAGGAUGAUCAGCCACACUGGGACUGAGACACGGCCCAGACUCCUACGGGAGGCAGCAGUGGGGAAUAUUGGACAAUGGGGGGAACCCUGAUCCAGCAAUGCCGCGUGAGUGAUGAAGGCCUUAGGGUUGUAAAGCUCUUUUACCAGGGAUGAUAAUGACAGUACCUGGAGAAUAAGCUCCGGCUAACUCCGUGCCAGCAGCCGCCGUAAG